GACGGGCGCCAGGGGGCAACUUCCUACAGGAGGGCGUCCCGUUAGAAUGACAGGGCUUUUGCAAAAGUCUGACACCCGUGGCACAGAGCGCCCCAGAUAUGGAGGGUUUCACAGGCUCGUGUGUGGCUUCUUCAGUCCUCUCUUCAUUCACUCAUGUAUUCAUUUAUUCAACGACAUGUUACUAAGGAACCUCCUUAAGCCGGGAUGCUGAACGUGGAAAAAUAGUUGACUCUUGAACAAUGUGGGGGCUUGGGGCACCAACCCCCUGUGCAGUUGAAAAUCGACAUAUAACUUUGACUCGCCAAAAACUUCACUACAAUAGCCUGCUGUCAACCUGAAGUCUUACCAAUAACAUCAACAGUCAAUUAAACAUAUUAUGUAUGUUAUAUGUAUUCUAUGCUGUAGUUUUACAAUAAAGUAAGCUGGAG
rnacentral:lncRNA from 1 species